rnacentral:rRNA from 1 species
GAUGAACGCUGGCGGCGUGCCUAACACAUGCAAGUCGAGCGAAUAGAUAAGGAGCUCGCCUGUUUUCCGUUAGCGGCGGACGGGUGAGUAAUACGAGUGUAACCGACCUAGAAGACUGGAAUACCGCCGGGAAACCUAGUACAACACAGGAUAACAUGGUGAACCGCAUGGUUCUUCAGUGAAAGGCGGCUCUGCUGACACUUAGAGAGGGUCCCGCGCCGGAUUGGUUAGUUGGUGAGGAAACGGCUCACCAAGGCAAAGGUGCGUAGCCGACCUGAGAGGGUGAUCCGCCCACCUUGAAACGAGACACGGUCCCAACUCCUAAGGGAGGCCGCCGUAGGGAAUCUUCCGCAAUGGGCGGAAGCCUGACGCCACACAGCCGGGUGGUGUAUAGAAGGCUUCCGAUCUGUAAACCAUGUUAUGUGGGAAGGACAGGUACUAAGGUAACUGCGCGCGUCUUGACGGUACCCAGUAGAAAAGGCACCGCUUAAUACGUU